rnacentral:rRNA from 1 species
AAUGAACGUUGGCGGCGUGGAUUAGGCAUGCAAGUCGUGCGAGAAUCGUAGCAAUACGAGGAAAGCGGCGAAAGGGAGAGUAAUGCAUGGAUAUCUACCCUCGGGUCUGGGAUAGCUACGGGAAACUGUAGGUAAUACCAGAUGACAUCUCCGGAUCAAAGGUGUGAUUCCGUCCGAGGAGGAGUCCAUGUUCUAUUAGCUAGUUGGUGAGGUAACGCCCCACCAAGGCUGAGAUGGGUAUGGGGUGUGCGAGCACGACCCCACUAACUGGGACUGAGAUACUGCCCAGACACCUACGGGUGGCUGCAGUCGAGAAUCUUCGGCAAUGGGCGCAAGCCUGACCGAGCGACGCCGCGUGCGGGAUGAAGGCCUUCGGGUUGUAAACCGCUGUCAGUGUGGAGGAAAUUCCUAGGGGUAAUCUCCUAGGAUUGACCUAUACGCAGAGGAAGGAUGGGCUAAGUUCGUGCCAGCCGCCGCAGUAA